ensembl:lncRNA
GGUUUCGCACGGCGCGGCCUGGCAGCGUUGAGGCGCCUGAGCCGGCUUCCCCGUGGGCUGUCAGGGCGGGCAGGGGGCAAGGGCGCCAGGAGGAGCCUGGCUUGCGGGGCACCGGCAAGCGAGUAGCCUGAGGGCGAUAGCGGGAGAGGUUGAGGGGAGCCGUCGAGUCAGUUGGGUUUCGUGUCGGUUGGGGUUGUCUGUUGGGGUCUGUGGUGGCCAGAAAAUGUCUGCAGAGCUGCUGACUUUUUUAGAGAGGUCUAAAGGGGGCAAAGAGCAGGGGGUGACAGGAAGGCGAGAGCCAAGCCGGCCUGAAGCCGUGUCGUGAAUUGGGACAAGGUGGGUCAGCUCUCUGACCUGAGGUGUAUGAUGUUUCUGCAUGUUUUCUUAUGAUUCUUGCUUGCUCCUUGUUCCUGGGUCCGGUCUGGUGCUGGAGAGGUGCUGGGUGCAUCCCCUGCCACAGGGGUCAUGAAGAGCCUUGUGUAGAGACUAUUUCCCCAUGUGUGGCACAGGGUUUUGCAUUGAUUUGUAUUGUCUGUGUUGGUAACAUGAAAGGAUUUGCCUGCUUACUGCCCUAGGAGUCAAAAGAUCCGUGAGAUUUUUUAAGUUCUCAGUAAAGAUCGUCGGUGAGAUACCAUGGGAGUCCGGAUGUCAGCAGCCUCCGCAGUCUGUGUAAAGAUCACAGGAUUAGAGGUAUGCAGGGAGUAUGCUGAGCAAAAGACCCUGAAUGAAGGCUGCUACAAAGCUGCUGUGGAUAUACUGCAUUGGUUUCAGUCAGCUUUGCACAGAGGCAAAACUGUCCCCUCAUGUUCAAUAACUGGUUAAAUAACGGGAACACUUUUUUAUUUCCUUACAGAGCCCAUUAGCAAAAAUUUAGAUGCAGACUCCACCUCUGAGUUUGGAGUCUGCCUGAUUAAAGUCAUUUCUCCUCCCUUUCUGCUAACAAUCAGCAAUUGUUUGACACUCCUGUAACACUUCUUUAAUAAAGCCACUGGUAAUAACAGCACAUUUACCAAAAGAUUAAUGUAAAAUUCUCCCUGAAUUAUUGAAUUUACUGUUACUUGGGGUGUCUUCUGUUAUAAGUGGAAAUUGCAAGGAGACACUCUAUUAGUACCCUGCCAAUGUGUGUGUCAGUCGCAACACCCUUUAGAAUAACUGGGAGAAAUUGACUGUGCAUUCUUCCAUACAAUAACAAGACAUUAUUACAACAUAACAAUGUUUGUCAGAUUAAUUUGAAAGCAGAAUUUGUUGUGAUUUAAACCAUGAAAAGAAAAUGAGUUCUGAAAAUACUUCUUUAUACUUGUUUCUUCUAACAGCCUAAUUUCUUGGGAGGACUUUCUAAUCAAUGUAAUCUGGUGUGACUUCAUUAACUCACCAUUUCAAGAAGAUAGUCCGAUAUAUUUUCUUGAUCAGUAGCAGUAGAUAAAAAUACUAAACUUCUCUUUCUUUAACUGCAACACCAACGACAAGCAUGUGAAUUUAAAUACAGUAAUACAAACGCCAGCAUAUUGCAGGUUAACAGUGUGUAGUCCAGAAACAAACAAAAAAGAAACUUAAUAUUCCAGGACAAAACAGUUACACUUACUUUGUAUAAAAAGCCAUAAUAACCUUGUUAGCAAUGACUUUGUGCAGUUCAUGUGAGAAUAUCUAAGAUUAAAAAGCAAUACUGACUAAAGCUAUGUAAAAAUCCUUGGCAAAAGCUGUUAUCGACCUAAUCAUUCAAAUAAAGUAGCAAAUUUAUACCCUUUUACAAACUGCAUUCCUGGGAGUUUUCUGUGGUUUAGAAGACCAUCCAGUAUGCUGUAACUUUGGACAUUGUGUG